GACGAACGCUGGCGGCGUGCCUAAUACAUGCAAGUUGAGCGCUGAAGGUUGGUACUUGUACCAACUGGAUGAGCAGCGAACGGGUGAGUAACGCGUGGGGAAUCUGCCUUUGAGCGGGGGACAACAUUUGGAAACGAAUGCUAAUACCGCAUAAAAACUUUAAACACAAGUUUUAAGUUUGAAAGAUGCAAUUGCAUCACUCAAAGAUGAUCCCGCGUUGUAUUAGCUAGUUGGUGAGGUAAAGGCUCACCAAGGCGAUGAUACAUAGCCGACCUGAGAGGGUGAUCGGCCACAUUGGGACUGAGACACGGCCCAAACUCCUACGGGAGGCAGCAGUAGGGAAUCUUCGGCAAUGGACGAAAGUCUGACCGAGCAACGCCGCGUGAGUGAAGAAGGUUUUCGGAUCGUAAAACUCUGUUGGUAGAGAAGAACGUUGGUGAGAGUGGAAAGUUCAUCAAGUGACGGUAACUACCCAGAAAGGGACGGCUAACUACGUG
rnacentral:rRNA from 1 species